CGGGAGUUUCCCAGGGUUCCUCGCGGCUCCUCACGUCCGUCCCGCGCUUCAGGAUGGCGUCGGCAGAAGCAGCAAGAUGAUUAAAGAAUGGAAAUGGCUCGAGGGUGAAAUGGAUCACGAAACCUGGCCAAGAGGUUAGCAUGAAAGAAUGGGCUACCUAUGUCGAGCAAGUCUAGGACUCCCCCAAAUGAGGCCAGCUGAAAAACAGCCACCUGCCUAAGAGCCAUCUGAAGGUGAAAAGGAAGAGAUCUGAAUGACCUGAUGGGAGUAUAACCAACCAGCUUUGAAAAUUAAAUUUCUUGAGCACACAUCAGCUGGGCGAAAAUAAGAUUCUAAUAAGACAUGUUGUCAACUGUAGAGCAACCACUCAGAAAAUAAAUUUUUAAAACUUGGAGGAAAAUCCCUGAAGAAAUUCAAACGUUAUACCAGAAAAUAUUCACUUAAUGCCAAAUAAAGCCAUAAAGGAGACGUAAAAACAAAACAACUUGAGACACACGGAAAACGAGAAGUAAAACAUCACACACACAACUGCAACCUGAUAAGCACGUUGAAUGUGAAUGAACUAAACAAUCCAGUCAAAAGGCAGGGAUUGUUAGACUGGAUUACAAAAAGCAAAAAAAACCAAAACCUAGAUCUGCUUUCGCUGUCUAUAGGAGACACACUUUAGAGUCAAAGACACAAACACGUUGAAAGUAAAAGGGCGGAAAACUAUAUACCACGCAAACAGCAACCACAGGAGCUGGACCGGCUCUACUAAAGUGACACAGAACAGUUUUGCAGCAGUUUGAGAGAGAAUGAAAAUUGGGUCAACGGCUUGCAUUGCGAAGGACCUUGAUAUACUUCCAUGAAAAUCUGUGCCUGUCCUGAUGAAAUGCAGCAGAGAACAGCUCUCCGGCACCAGUGCGUAUUGACCGGCAGAAACCCCUGAUUCAGUACUCUGCUUUUCUUUAAGGCCUCAGAUUCCUCAUUCAGAUCUAAGAGAAGGGGACGGGAUAGCAAGGUGCAGGAUGAGAAGGGGAAAUAUUCCUCAGACAGCACAGGAAAUGAACAUGAAGCUGACCGGGAUGAGGCUUGGAGGGGAGUAAACUGAGUAACUGGAUCAGAAUAUUCUCUGAGAAACACAAGCUGUUAUUGGAAAGGCCCCCAGGCUCAGGUGCCAUUCACACCAGUGACGAUGAUGAACAGGUGCCAAAGCACUGAGGUCAGCAACCUGGAGAAGGCUUCCUAUCAUCUAUCAGUAAGGGACACCAGCAUGUUCCCAGAAAGACUUAGGACACACGUCGUCGUGCUGCUGUGGAAUAUUCACCGUAAGUGGGGGAGAGAAAACAUAGGGCAGGGCCUUCACACCUCAAUCUCUGCAACUUAUAGUUUUCAGCCCUUGUCUAUAGCACAGACCCCAUUAGUCUCGAAUCCUUUCUGCCAAGGGUGACCCCCUGGGCAGUCACCCUGCAUCUUCCUCUGUGGUGGCAGGAGAGGGUCGUGGCAGUUGGUUAGCUUGGGCAUCCCUGAGAAGGACCAGAAGGCCUUCCCAGCUUGGCCCCACAGGUACUGAAGGGUGACGCUGUCCCUCUCAGUUGCACAUCAUUACAAUCUCUGUACCCCCUUUUACGGACAGGAAACCAGAGGCAAAAUGGGGUUGUAGCUGAGACUUAGUGAUUCCUCGUCUCCACAAGCUUCUGUUUCACCAUUUUUAAGUGGAAAAAAAAAAAAAAAGAACACCCAGCAUAAAAGGUUGUGAAGAUUGAGUGAGGUGAUCUACGUAAUGAACUGGGCACAGGGUCUGGUACCAUUUGGAGAUUUUUAGAUCAUUGUCGACUACUGGGUACAGACAGCUGCGGGGACACACCUUUCAGAGGAUACACGUCUCCUACAACAAUGAGAAGGGAGGUCAGCUCUUCUCCACUCUCAGCUGACCCAGCUUCAGUUCCAGAUGACUGGACAGCCACAGGACGACCGUCGUCUUCCUCACAGCGAGUCACGGAAGAGCUUGUGCGCAGGGCCCAAGCCCCCUCCCUCUAUGGGAGCCAUGCUGGGGGCUUCAGGCCAUACAUGCUGCCUGCUUGCGCUCACCCGUAGACACCCAGAGCAGCAGUGAGCGUGUCAGUCACCUCCUUCUAGCUGAAGCUACACAUGGUGGAAAGUGGGGAAGGAGCAGGGCAACAGAACCGGCUCAUCUCCUGCUUUGUGGGUGAUGUGUCACACCCUUCACGUCUAGAUGGGCUUGAGAAAGAGGUGGGUUGGCCAUUCUCUGCUUUGUGUGGAUAAUUCUCAUUUAUGAUGACGAGCGGCAAGCUGGAAGAGUGAACUGUAGACACGUGCGCACACACACACACACACACACACACACACACAAUGCUUGUGCCCAGCGGAGGUAUGGGUUGGGUGUAGUGGCCAGGAGCCAGGAUGGGAGCUGGGAAAUUCAGCAGGCCCAUUUGGUCACCGAUAAUACAAACAAUAUGCAAAUUAGAGUUCUCUUUAGGUCUUGGAUUGCUAUUAAUUUAAAACCCCAGGAAGACAGUUGAAGUGGACCUCUUGUUAUGUGGUUUGGAGCUGGUCUGAGUAGAGGGGUAGGAGAGGAUGAGAGGCGUGUGGAGAGGGGACCAAGCAGGACAGUAAGACGAGUGAACAAAAUAACGUGCCUUCGGAUGAGAAGAGCUUUGGGCAAUACUCUAAAAAUUCACCCUGACAAUCUCAGUUGGAAAAGAUCCCUCAACUGCAUACCUAGCCACCUGUAAGAAUCUUUUGAACUCUAGCAAAUAAUCUGUUUAAAGCAAAACACCUCAACUUUGUCACAUAACCAAUCUCAAUCAUGUGCUUUAAAGCCAAAUAUUCAAAAAAAUAAAUAAAGCCAAAUAUUCAGCAGACACACAACAAAGGAAGAGAUACCAGACAUGAAAGACAGAGACACAUUAAAUGCCCCCCCACCCCACACCUAUUUUCCUAUUUCUGUGUUGGCCCACUGGCAAGGCACUGCCUUGGCUACCUGCAUGCUGCCCACCUAAAAUUCCCUUUGGUCUCCACCGAGAACUCCAUCCUUCAGCUUCUCAAUCAAAUGGUCUAUGGCCCACCAAAGGAACAUUCUGGGAGAAGAGCAGUAAAUACCUGUGGGCUCUUCGUCAUCCACAGCACCUCUUAUAGGAGAAGGCUGUUCCAUGUGUGACCAAGCCAAGAGGAAGGCAAGUCAGGGAAGCAAGCCUGUCUUCCCUUGCUCAUGCAGUGCAGGUAUCACUUGUCACAGGUCACCUCUUCAGCCUGUUUUACUACUGGUUAGAAACUACAGAUGAACCCAGAGGUUAUGACUGGCCAGCUGGCCGGGAGGUAAAAUGGCCAUGCGACCAAAGUCCUGUGUUUAUCACCUCUCAUGGCAGCACAGUUCUAUGUUUUCUUAUGAAAAAAUGAAGAAGUCCCCCCCCCGCUCUGCUAUAUGGAUAAACUGGACCCCCACCCUUCCAGCCUCCAGCAGCCUUGAUCUUCCUAUUGGGAGGCAGGGUGCCCAAUGUAGCUGGAGCGAUGGGAGAGGAGCUGACAUUCACUGGACCACGGGAUUAAAACACAAGACAUCAGUGGGUGCUUGAUGAAGGCCUUCCUGUUCUCUGAUCUCUUUCUGUUUGAAUUCCUACAUUACUGGAGAGGCCAGGUAAGUGUAUUUGGGUCCCAGGGCUAUGUCUGGAGAGAGAGAUAAGAAUUACUACUCUAUGCUCUACGGUUCCCCCGAGAGAUGUCUGUGUUCUAAUUUCUGGCACUUGUGACUAUGUUAGGUGACAUGAGCGAGAGGGAUGACAGGCUGCUAUUCAGCAGACCUUGAGAUGGGGAGAUUGUCCUGGAUUACCCGCCUGGGUUCCUGUCAGGGGGAAGAGGGGCUCGAAAGAGCCAGAGAGGCAGCAGCGUGAGAUGUACUUGCUCUGGAGACAGAGGAAGGGGCCAUUUGUCGAGGAAAGUCUGCGGGACUUUCCAGAAGCUGGGAAAGCAGGGAAAUGGACUCUUCCCUAGAGCUUCCCGAAAGGACUGUACCCUGUGGUCCCCUGACCUCAGCCCAGUGAGCAUGCUGAGCUUCUAGACCUACACAGGGUCAAAGAUUAUACAUUUGUGUUGUCUUGAGCCCGUGUUUGCGGCGAUUUGUCACAGCAGCGAUAGGAAACUCAUACAUUCUCCGAUUCGGCUUCACCAGGAAUAAAGCGAAUCGUGGUGGGAGCUGGCAUCUAUGGAGGGCUUACGCCGUGCCAGCCUUUGUUCUAAGCACUUCACGUGUAGUAGCUCCUUGAAUUGUUUGCAGUUAUCUUACGAGGCAAAGUCACUGGUGGAAGGUCACACACAGCUAUGGGUUGGAAAGCCAGGAUUUAACCCAGCUCCCUGGUUCCAGAAAGUUAACAUUCUGCUGAUAUAAACUUAAAUGCCUAUUUUGCAUCUUGCAUCUCUGUGUGGCCGCGACUGAGAUCUAUUUACAGAAGCAAUGAACUCGCAGUCAUUCAGACUCCCCGUUGGUCCUAGGGCUCCGGCCCUGCCAUCUCUAAGACCUCGGGCAAUCCCUAAACUUAGCUGAGCUUCAGGAUGAUCCUUAACACGGGAAUACCGUGACCCACCCUGAGAAGUGACGUGACCAUCAAAUGGUCAAAUGAGGUGGCCCUGAUGUCUGGCACACAGCAGGUGACUGAGAAAUACUGAUGAUGAUCUACACUCCGAGGCUGAGAAUCUGGUCAUCCUGUCCUCCGAUUCACGCAGAUUCGACACCUCCCCAUACAGAGGCAAGAGAGUACUCGGGGGACAGCUGGCCUCCUAGCCUGGAUGGCUGGUCUUGUCGUCGGGCACCUCAGCCCAUGUGUACGCUCCUGAGAGUGAGGAAGAGGGUGAUCAGGCCUGCCAGGCACGCUGAUGAGAAAAACAGUGGACACAGAGGUCAAACUCAGCCCAGGGAGGAGAAGACUACGGGAAGAGCUGGUGUUGGGGGCUGACAUCAGAAAGAUAGCUUCUGUAGCUCAGGAGACCAAAAUGAGGACCCCCGGGUGAAGGCCUCAAGGGGGCAGGUACAGCCGAGGAGAAGAGUCUGUGGAUCGCAAGUGGCCUCAGUAGCAUGUCCUCCCCGCUGUGGAACCAUGAACGCCAAGGCCACCAGGCGGCCCCUGAGCCUACACUUGAUGGAUCUGGAGGUCCAGUCGCCCAACUUUGGAAAAGUCCUUACGGUUUCUACUAGUGCCAAACCCAUGCUGGCUGCAUCUCCUGGCAGAGAAAACCCCCAGGCCUCCAAGCAGGAAGAAGUCGGAGGCAGCACUUUGGCGAAGGUUCCCACUGGCACUGCCCACAGCGUAACUGGACGUGAAGACCCCAGGCCGGGAUCCAUACCCACAGAAGCCCGAGCCCGGUCAAGCCUAAGACACAACGCACCUUGUACUUCCCCUUUCCCGCCCACGGAGCACGGCUGGCCGGAGUCCUAAACGGCUCCACCACAGAGAAAACAACACGGGGAGAAGCCCAGACUUGGGGUGGCAAGUGUCCGCCCCGUGGCCCCGGGGCUGCUGAGCUGCUCUGCCGGCCACUUGGGGGGAGCUCAGCUGUCUGCCGGAGGCCGAGACCACGCUGCCCUUUGAGGACCUGUGCCCAUGCACACAUUUAAAGGAGAAAUUCACUUUUUAAAGAUUACAGUCUAGGACCCCCUGAACUACAGUCGCCUGGAGGUUACCUCGGGGCCCCUGCACCAGAAUUUCUGGGUGCGGGGCCUGGGACUUAAUUUAGCACGCCCUCCUGGUGUAUCUCCUGUUCACUAAUGUGUGAGAGCCACUGGUCUCAGAGGCGCCCCAAGUGCCGUGGCACCCGACUCCACCAGGCGGGGUGUGGAAUGUCUGGGGCCGGAGAAGGUGGGAGGUUCUAGGGGAGGUAAGGUUGGGCUUGUGAUAGGAAGGGAGCAGGUGCUGGGAGGCGCGGAACCUGGAGUGAAAAAAAAAAAAAUCUCAGGCUACUGAGUUACGGUUCUAUCUUCCAUAUGGAAAAAAAAAAAAUUCCCACCAGCA